AUUCAUCUUCGGGGCGUGGUGAAAUUCCCGACCGGCGGUGAUGAAGCCUUAGAGCUUCUAAGCCCGCGAGCCUCUUUAGGGGCAGGAUUUGGUGUGAAUCCAAAGCCGACAGUACAGUCUGGAUGGGAGAAGAUGAAG
rnacentral:ncRNA from 2 species